AGGAAAGGAAAACUCUCAGACGGCAUAGCACUGUCGAAGCUACCCGCAAACUGAUGAAGGAGUCGAGAGAGGUCCCAAAAAUUCUUCUCGAGUAUAUCCAAUUAUCCACCAUAGGAAAGAUCACGAACCUGAGAGUUAAGGUGUAAUCUCUUCGAAUUUGAGUUCCAACUCUUUCUUUGCGGAAUCAAAUUCGAACCCAAGUCUCCACCGAGAAAUCAAGCUUCUCGUCGUCGUCUUGUUCUGCUCCUCCAUCAUCGUGGUCGUCUUGCUCUGCUCCCUGCUCCCCCAUCGUCAUAGUCAUCAAAUCUCCUUCGUGGCCGACUUCAUUUCCUCCAUGAUUCACCUUUGCGUUGAGCUCGCACGAUGAGUUCCUCUCUUCUUGUCACUGCCUCAUCCGUUGCCAAUCACCUCUGCAUAACUCCAUCGCGCUCGGAUCCACCGCCGUGAACUUCCGGAGUCGUCGUCACGAAUCCUAUGUUAAUUGAAAGCUUGAGCAACAAUGAUUGUUCCUCAAAUCCAGCCUCAAACUUUAAAAUUAACAUUUCAGCCCCUCGUUUAUAUGCAUCUGUCCUUAAAGAACUUUAAGCUUUCCAAGAGGCUGAAAGGCUAGCAGACUGAAAUACGAAGGAGACGAAUUAGCAAAGUAUGUGAGAGCUUGUGAUGAAGAAAGAUUGGAGCUUGUAAAAUAGGUAACAGAGGAGUUGGUCUUGCAAAUUUUGUGAGAGCUUUAUGAUAAAAAAAAUUUGGUGAUUGCAGAGUAUGAGUUAAUGGAGGAGACGUUUUGAUUGUUUAACGCCUUAUUGUUGGGAUCAUGUGACGUCUUGUACAUGUGUAUAUGUGUAUUCCAAGAAUAUACAAUCUUGUACAUGUGUGCAACAAGAUUUUGUAUACAACAACUCUUGUAGACAUGUACACAAAUAUAACAGGGAAAAUAUAUGAAUUUUUUGUCUAA